CGGUGAUUAUAGCGUGGAGGCCACACCUGUUCCCAUCCCGAACACAGAAGUUAAGCUCCAUAGCGCCGAUGAUACUUGGUGGGUGACUGCCUGGGAAAGUAGGACAUCGCCG
rnacentral:rRNA from 1 species